rnacentral:rRNA from 1 species
UACGGGGGGGGCAAGCGUUGUUCGGAAUUACUGGGCGUAAAGGGCUCGUAGGCGGCCAACUAAGUCAUACGUGAAAUCCCUCGGCUUAACCGGGGAACUGCGUCUGAUACUGGAUGGCUUGAGAUUGGGAGGGGGAUGCGGAAUUCCAGGUGUAGCGGUGAAAUGCGUAGAUAUCUGGAGGAACACCGGUGGCGAAGGCGGCAUCCUGGACCAACACUGACGCUGAGGAGCGAAAGCCAGGGGAGCAAACGGG